GUACAGAUAAUACAAAGAACAGAGCAUGAAACUCCGCCCUUGAGUCUCAGUUGACCGACUUGUUUCAAGACCUCACAUCGGUUUCAAGUCCGGGUGGAGGGUCACAUCAGACGCUCCUACACGUGUUAACACUCGGAGAUCUCAGGCUGAAAGGGACAUGAAAUUACAUAUGACUUCUAUUUAUAUAAAAUGUAUUUGCUUCAGGCGUAAGUUGGACUCCUGAAGUUUAUUUGACUCGAGAAGGGAAUGAAUUAACGGAGCGUAGCGCAGGACAAACUUGCGACUUUUAGAAGUUCUGAUAAAAAAGAAACAGACUAUGAUUUAACUUCUGCUUUUGGCUGAACACAUGAAGUAGAUAGAGAAGCGUUAGUUGGGACAGCUUUAGACUAAACGCUGGGUGUUUCCCAUUCACCCAUGAAACAGGACGACUUUCAGCAACUUUCAGUUUAGUUUGAAGCGUACACUUUACUCCAUGAGUAAAUUGAGGACACUAUAACAUGAGCGAAAAACACGCGUUAGAAGAUACUAAACUAAACGAGAAUGAAACUAAGGAGGACACGGGGAACCAUGUUAAGCUGGAGGCGGGUGACAGGGAAAAGCGAGCCGGUGAUCAGUGCGAGCCGGACGGGAAGGAAGUGGUGCGACCCACACGUCUGUACAAGCGGCGCUGGAUGAUCGUCCUCCUGUUCAGCUCCUAUUCACUAUGCAAUUCCUUCCAAUGGAUCCAAUACGGCAUUAUCAACAACAUCUUCAUGAAGUUUUACAACGUAGAUACCUUCACCAUAGACUGGAUGUCUAUGAUCUACAUGCUGACAUACAUUCCCUUCAUCUUCCCAGUCACCUGGCUGCUGGACAAAAAGGGGCUCCGGGUCAUCGCGCUCGUGGCCACCGCGCUAAACUGUGCGGGGACGUGGAUCAAGGUGGCCAGUGUCAGACCUAACCUGUUCGCGGUUACCUUCCUGGGGCAGUUCUGCUGCUCGUUCGCGCAGGUGUUCAUCCUCGGGAUGCCCUCGAGGAUUGCGUCGGUGUGGUUUGGUUCGGAGGAAGUGUCCACUGCCUGCUCUAUCGGAGUCUUCGGGAAUCAGCUGGGUAUCGCCAUUGGGUUCCUCGUGCCUCCUAUCCUCGUGCCUAAUGUGGAGGACCUCGAUGAGCUGGCUCACCACAUCAGAAUUAUGUUCUACAUCACAGCUGGGGUGGCUACCUUACUCUUCAUCCUCGUCGUCUUCGUCUUUCAGGAGCGUCCUGAACUUCCUCCAACUCAGGCCCAAGCCACAGCUCGUCUCAUCCCACCGGAGCAGUACUCCUACACCGCCUCCAUCCUCAGGCUACUCCGCAACAAGCCCUUCAUCCUUCUCAUCAUCACUUAUGGUUUGAACGUGGGUUGUUUCUAUGCUGUUGGGACCCUGCUGAACCGCAUGAUUAUAGAUCAUUACCCGGGAGAAGAGGUGAAUGCUGGGAGAAUCGGUCUCACCAUAGUGAUUGCAGGGAUGGUCGGCUCCCUGAUCUGUGGGAUCUGGUUGGACAAAACGAAAACCUACAAGCAGACAACGCUGGCAGUUUACUUCAUGUCUCUGGUUGGGAUGAUAGUGUACGCUGCCACGCUCAGUCUGGGACACCUAUGGGUGGUUUUCAUCACUGCAGGAGCUCUGGGGUUCUUCAUGACAGGCUAUCUGCCACUGGGCUUUGAAUUUGCUGUUGAGCUGACAUACCCAGAGUCAGAGGGGACUUCAUCUGGACUCCUCAACUGCUCAGCACAGGUGUUUGGCAUCAUUUUCACCAUCUGCCAGGGGAAGAUCAUCGACGUCUUUGGCACACUGGCAGGAAACAUCUUCCUCUCUGUCUUUCUUCUAAUCGGCACAAUAAUGACAGGAUUAAUAAAGUCAGAUCUGCGGAGACAAAAAGCAAACAUGUUGGCCAAAGCAGCUGCGGCGGGGCAGAUGUCGGGACAAGACUAUGGAGCCACGGCACUAAUCUCCACGCCGCAGACUCCUCCUUCUCAAGCCUGAUCAAAAAACCUUUCUGCUUCAACAAAAGCACAAAAAAAAAUCCACACAAAUUUUAGCUCAACGCCUAGACGCACAAAGGAACCUUCGGACUUUACCAAUGGAAACGUGGCUGAAUCUCCUGUCAUCAUAGAGGCCAUGUUUUAAAGCACACAAACACACAAUCUUUAUAACAGCCUUGUGGAAAUGUCCAUGACCUCUUUCCUGUUGUGGUUUAACACACUAAGAUACAACUACACAAUCAGGAAGUAUCUUCCCUUCUGUGUGAUGUUUCAUUAAUAAACAGUAUUUAUAAAAUUAAAAACGUAACACUGUAAUUAAUCUCUUGUUUAAUGCACUAUUGUGAGUGUUAACAUUGACACUUAAGACAUAUUUUUAGAUUAAUUUGCGAAUAAAUAAAUACUCUGACUCAUUCUGAAAGAUUAAUAAGUGAAAAGUGGUUCUUUUACCUGUCAGUAUUUUGAAGUCUACAGUUGAUUAUGUAUAAGUCGGUAUGUCUGCCAUCAAAGAACACAAUGUUUGUCAUGGCUCAAUUAACAGUGUAAAUAGUGUCAGCAUGUCUGUUCAUGAUUCCAGUAGAUCUUUGAGAUUCAAUUUAUUUAUGCAGCAGCAUAUUUAAGGAUUUCUUAUCCAGUCCACAGAAAGGGAUGAAACAUCAAUGUCACACACUAAUGCAUUUUAUUUGUAACAUUCAUGUUUGCUUGUUUAAAAUGAAAUAAAAUUGUUUUUGAAAGUUC